rnacentral:lncRNA from 1 species
AUUAUGCCAUUUCAAAAGAAAAGAAAAGCGGCCAAAAUGAAUACUCAAAACUUACCCAAACGAAGGAGGAACUACCGACAAACGAAAACAAAACAAUUGGAACAAUCGAUUGUCGAACAGAGUAGAGAGAAGAACUAACGUCAGAGAAAUUUUUAGAAAAGGAAAAAAUAAAUUAAAAAGAAAUUAAAAUUAAAAUUACACAAAAUCCCCACUCCCCCACUAACCACUAACAACCUUAUCCCACAGAAUCCUACACAUUAACCACAUCCAACUACCUCAGAAUUUCAACUCCACUCAAACUCUAUCA